UACAGAGGCCUCGAGCGUUAGGCGGAAUCACUGGGCUUAAAGCGUGUGUAGGCGGACUUCUAAGUACCUUGUGAAAUCCCACGGCUUAGCCGUGGAACUGCUUGGUAUACUGGUCGUCUUGAGCCAUCUAGGGGCUGUCGGAACAAAUGGUGGAGCGGUGAAAUGCGUAGAUAUCAUUUGGAACGCCAAAGGUGAAAACAGACAGCUGGGGAUGUGCUGACGCUGAGACACGAAAGCCAGGGGAGCGAACGGG
rnacentral:rRNA from 1 species